rnacentral:sRNA from 1 species
UGUCACCGGGUGUCUUUCUGAUGUGAA